rnacentral:rRNA from 1 species
UACGGAGGGUGCGAGCGUUGUCCGGAAUCACUGGGCGUAAAGGGCGCGUAGGCGGCCUGAUAAGUAGGGGGUGAAAUCUUGCGGCUUAACCGCAAGGCUGCCUUCUAAACUGUCAGGCUCGAGCACAGUAGAGGCAGGUGGAAUUCCCGGUGUAGCGGUGGAAUGCGUAGAGAUCGGGAGGAAUACCAGUGGCGAAGGCGGUUGCCUGGAGCUUUGCUGACGCUGAGGCGCGAAAGCGUGGGGAGCGAUCCGG